GCGGACAUGUCAAGUGUUCGAGUAGAUGACUGAUUAUCUCACAUUUUGAAAGCCUUCCUAAGUUCCAGAGAGUGGCCACAUCUACUGAAGAGGCAAUACUAACACACCUGUUACUAGCGGUUGUGAAAUGAAGAUUGCACGGGACUGAUCGAAAUGUGGAGGUUCUCUCCGCGGCCACUAGAUGGCAGCAGCGGCAGCCGAGUGUUAGCACACGUUUCUGUGGUCAGAUGAGUGGCAACCACCGAGGACGGCGCACCUGUAUUCCUGCCUGUCGUAAUAAACUUCACUGCAAUCC